AGUCCAUGAGAGGGAUUAAGACUCAUCCACUUGGAAGGGAGGGGAGGGGAAGGGGAAAAAAAAAUAAGAACCAAGAUACUCACGUAAUGGUACAAGAUCCCAGUGAUGUAUGUAAAUGUAUUUUAUACCUAAAAUGUACCAAUAAACUUAAUGGGGGAAAAAAAAUUUAACCUAAGAGUCACCCACUUGGAAUGGUGUGUUUGUCACACAGAACAAUUAGCCUUGGUCCCAUUUGGCAUUGAAGAGUCUGGUUUCCAUAGUAAGAACAAGCCAUAAACAGUAUUGCUGUUCAUACACCUUAUAGAUGAUUUCCCUCAGAAGUCUGGAAGAAACAGAAAAGCGUUGAGUGCCAAGGUCUCCUCAAAGAGACACCAGUGGACAGAUGUGGACAGCUGUCCUUCUGAUAUGGAGUAUCAGUUCUUUCACUGGCCUUUCUUCUCAUAGUAAAUAUAUGUUUUAUCCACAAACUCCAAAUUCUUAAAGAACAGAGGGAUUUGGCCCUAUGUAUAUUUUGAGAGCCAAUUGUUUGAUCCAGAAGACCACAAGAUAAUUUCAAUUUCUAGUGGAUAUGUUAGACAGGCUUGGAGUAUAGGUCAGUGGCAAAACAAUUACCUAGCACAAUGAGGACCUGGGUUCAGUUCCCAGAACCACGGGAGGGUGGGCAGUAGGCUGGUUCUAGUUGAUAUUUUAGAACUCUAAAACUGACCAGGAUAUCUACAACGGAAGAAGAAGAGGUAUCCCUUACUUAAGUGCUUGGUCACCCCAGAAUGUUCUUCUAAAGUGUCCAGAAGUUUGUCAUGUCCAACUGAUUCAUCUUCCUUUUGCUUAUGAUUCUGAGUCAUUGCCCCAUUCUACUCCUACCAAAAAAGGCUGUCAAAAUAGUUUUAUGUGGUACAUUUUCUACUUUUAUUACCUUCUCAAGUCAUUUUUUAUUAAAUUACACAUAAGUGGAUUAUUUCAAUAUUCCAAUAUUUUCCAUCCAGCUGUUUCUACAUGUUUCCACAUCAUUGAAGGUCAACAAUUGAAUGAACUUUUGGUACAAAUAUUAUAAUCCAGAACAAUAAGUAACUAACAGAAACCUGUAUUGUACAACAACUGUCUGAAGUUUGGGACAGUUCUAAAUAUUCUCUCUGGAUCUACUUUCUGGUGUCAAAAGAUGUAAGGGCUACUGUGUAUUAUGAUUAUUUUCUAGAAAAGCUCGCCUGAAGAAAGUAUUUAGGCAGCCAUGCAGAGGUACAGGAGGAAUAUAAGUGGGUGGUAAAGAAAAACUUGCUUGUAGAGAAAAAGAAAGAUGCAAAGAAAAUAGGUUUCAGGUUGUUUGAGUAGGUAGAAGACCUUUCAUUUUUUCUUUUUUUUUUUCUUCCUGAGGCCACAGUAUGUCAAUCAAAGCAGCUUUGUAUUAUUUGAUAUUUGUUUUUCUUCUCUCUUUUCCACAGUCCAUCUUAAAUCUUUUAUGUUUUUACAUCAAAAGUUUCUCAUAAUGGCCAUAGUAAAUCCAAAUUAUCUACUGACAUGUUGUCAUUUAUUAAAAUAAGCACAUGAGAGUACAUAAGAUGGGAGUAUACACACAAAAUGGGAGAUUUUUUUUCAGGAAGAAGUGACAACUUUAAUGUAAAGGAGACCAUGAUAAACAGGAAAGAGUGCGCUACUGUUGGUAACAAGAUUUGCGCUUGUGCACGAUGCCUUAACUCCCUUACCCAAGCAGAGCCUAAAAGAAGCCAGAGCAUGGCAAACGAAAUCACUGACUCCAGGACAUAGCUAAGUGAAGUGACUUUGUUUGUGACAAAACAAAACAGAACCUGUGCUCGUGAACGUUUCCAAGGACCCAAGUCAAAAUUUCAGUGUUUCCCUAUAUCCAGAUGGAUCAGCAGUCUACGGGACUCCAGCCAUUAGUCCUCAGCACCAAGCUGUGGUGGGGGCUCGCCCUGCACUCCACUCCUUCCUUAUACAGGCAAUUUGGAACAAAGCAAAACUCCAUGAGGCAAAUACUGGUGUGAGUGGAUGAAGAAAACUGAAGUUAAAGCAAUUAGCAGAGAAUUACACAGAUUAAUGGCAAGGAUAAUGGUACAUCUCCAAAACAAGAUCUCAUUUUAUAUAAAUUCCUAUUCAUUUAUAAGUCCUGGAAAAUAAAUCCAUUAAAGAGAGCUCAGUAAAAUACAUUAGAGCUCAAAUCAUGUUGAAAAACUCACCUGGCAGCAGAUUCAGAAAGCUCAUUGGAGAUUGGGCUAAAUGCAGCAGGUGAGCGCCACACCCCACUUCCGGCCAAGGAUCCCACACAGUGGGGACAUCUGUAUGCAUCUAGCCUGCUGAGUACAUCUAACCAUGAGGCACAGCUUAUGUACAGGAAGUUAAAGAUCAAUUAACAGAAAGGAGAAAGAGCUGUUAGCCACACAGUUGUUAUUCAGCAGUCAGGGGUGCUAAUGAAUUUACUGGACAAAUAAUUAUAAAGUAGUUGUUCUGUGUCUAUCCCUGCAUUGCAUACUAGAUACAGGAUGAAAGAAAAUACUACCCUUGCCUCCACAUGCCUGGGGCAUUUGUCUAUCCUGUACCUUAUUUGUUUCUGUAUCUCCAACACCAAAUAGUAGCUGGCACAUAGUAUGAGCUCAACACAUGUGAAAUAAAUGGAAAGAACUCAUGGUCUACUAUCCACAUGGUUGGCAACUAAAUAGGCAGUUGCAAUAAGUAGUUAUGGAACACUGACCUAAGCCAGGUAUUUGCUGUACAAUAACACAUUGUGACAUAGGAAAACAUGGUGAGCGGGUUGAAGAGUGUUAUGGGAGCACAGAGGAGAGGUCCCUAAUUCAUCCCAGGAGGAAAAGGCAGCUUCCUGUAGCCCUAAGCUGAAUCUUGAAGUUCAAGAAGUGAAAGAGUGAACCAAGAACAUCCCAGACAUAGGGAACUGUAUGUGAGCAGGAUCCUUUACUAAAAAGGAAACAGCCCUGCCCAAGGAUCUGGGCUCAAAUUCAAGAUCAGCUGAUUCAACACAGCAUCCCUGUAGAAAAAGCUGGCAGAGUAAAAGCUUCAAUUCCUUCCCAUGGCAGCCCACCAAAACUGGCUUCAAAGAUCCUCUGCUUAUGCUGCAGGGACUGUGAAGAGCCCCAAGUCAUCGAUGACUCCAAGGUUCCCAGUUAAACCCAAGAGAACCAGCCAUUGAGCCACAGAUCCUCAGCCCUGAACACAGUGCUUGGUACCAGUACAUCCUCAAUAAAUACAUCUGUACCCAGAUGUCCAUGGAAGACGUGUUCCAAGACCACCCUUCAAUACCCAAAUCCAUGGAUGCUCAAAUCCCUUCCAUAAACUGAGAUCUGAAGGCAGGCUCUUACCAAGAUAGUUUGCAAAAGAAACACACACACUGCUCCCAAAACAACCGGAUGACAGUCAAGACAUGCAACCUUGGGUGACCCUGAGCAUUCUAGUCAGUGGCGCCCCCAUGAGGCUCUGGCUGCACAGCUGCAGAGGAUCUCCAUGAGGAGGAAGGCAGUGGGCAGGAGUCAUAAAGACUGAUUCAGAAACUUCAGGCAGGAAGAGAAGAUGUCGGAGUCAACCCUGUGCCAUCUGCUGGAGUCCCACCAUCUGACACAGCCAGGGCAGGAAGAGCUGUCUCCAAUUAAAGUCCUUGGUCGCAUCAGAUGACAUCUCUUCUUCCUUCCCCCUUUCCCAGCCACUUCUGACAUUCCCAUGAACGUGGACCAGUUUGGCAUCUCUUGUAUGAAAAUGUUGUUUUAUCAUUUAGGAACAUUUCAAUCACUCCCAAUCGACCCCGGAGGUCCUGCAGUGGGCCAAGCAGCUGUAGAUGGAUGCUACCGUGACCAUCUAGAGUCAGGGAGCACAAUGCCGUCCCCAUGUGGAUUCUGCUCCAUCUGGCGCUGAGGGCCAUAGAGACUGGUGGGGCUGGCUGCACAAAUCUCUGUGAUUGGCAGUCCUAGAAACAUCCAGGCCUACGGCAUUGGUUGUGCUGCAGCACAGGGUAUACAAACACAAGUUCUACACAGGAGACCUUAAGGGGCUUCCACAGUAGCCAGACAGGUGCAGAAGCCCAGCCCUUUGAUAUAGUAGGACAACUACUCUGGAAGCAAAAGAACUUGGAGAUUCAGGAAAGGCUUCCUGGAGGAGAUGGUACGUUGUAGGGAACAGGGGAAGGGGACGUUACCAGAACCUCUA